GAACAGUUUCGGUGCCCGGGUCCUCUCCGAAAACAUAUCGAAGAUAAAAAAAGAAAUGUCAUCAUUUGAAGUAAUUUUUGUGUAAAACGCUCUACAAAAAGAGGAGAAAGGAAGAAAGCAAAUCAUUUGGAUGGACAAGCAGAUGGGACAGACAAAAAAAAAAUCCAUUUUGAAAAUAGCAAAUGAGGUCAAAAGCCAAGAGAUCAAAAAGAAACCAAAACUGCACACUCCUAAAUCAAUGCAAAGACUGUUUUUGAGAGAAUCCAGAAUCUUGGAUACACAGACUUUCACGCUAUUUCCCUUUACACUUUCUGGUUCAUGGCAUCAAACUGCUGCACUUCCUGGCGUCACCUGAUGGCAAUGAUGGCAUGCUGCUAACAACAAAAUGGCCACCAGAACCACAAAAUGGUAAUGAUUGUGUCAAUAAAAUGGAGACCAAAAAUAA